GUAGCACAGUGGUAGUGCAUUUGUACCUUAAGCAAAGAGUCGUGUGUUCGAAUCACAUUGAAGGCGCA